GAUGAACGCUGGCGGCGUGCCUAAUACAUGCAAGUCGAGCGAACGGACGAGAAGCUUGCUUCUCUGAUGUUAGCGGCGGACGGGUGAGUAACACGUGGAUAACCUACCUAUAAGACUGGGAUAACUUCGGGAAACCGUAUCUAAUACCGGAUAAUAUUUUGAACCGCAUGGUUCAAAAGUGAAAGACGGCCUUGCUGUCACUUAUAGAUGGAUCCGCGCUGCAUUAGCUAGUUGGUAAGGUAACGGCUUACCAAGGCAACGAUGCAUAGCCGACCUGAGAGGGUGAUCGGCCACACUGGAACUGAGACACGGUCAAGACUCCUACGGGAGGCAGCAGUAGGGAAUCUUCCGCAAUGGGCGAAAGCCUGACGGAGCAACGCCGCGUGAGUGAUGAAGGUCUUCGGAUCGUAAAACUCUGUUAUUAGGGAAGAACAUAUGUGUAAGUAACUGUGCACAUCUUGACGGUACCUAAUCAGAAAGCCACGGCUAACUACGUG
rnacentral:rRNA from 1 species